UGCCAAGUUAUUAAGGGCGUACGGCGGAUGCCUUGGCGCUGGGAGCCGACGAAGGACGUGGCAGGCUGCGAUAAGCCCCGGGUAGGAGCCAAACAUCCAUUGAUCCGGGGAUGUCCGAAUGGGGAAACCCGCCAGCGGUCAUGCGCUGGCACCCAGGUCUGAAUACAUAGGGCCUGGGAGGGAACCGGGUGAACUGAAACAUCUAAGUAACCCGAGGAAGAGAAAUCAAAUAGAGAGUCCCGGAGUAGCGGCGAGCGAAAUGGGAUCAGCCCAAACCUCUGUGGUGUGAAAGCCCGGUGGCGUUGCCACAGGGGAGUCGUGGGACCCAUCAGACCGUGCACCGGCGCGGUCGGGGAGUUACAAAGUCAGCGGUUAGUCGAACUUUUCUGGAAAGCUAGGCCAAAGAAGGUAAUAGCCCUGUAGAUAAAAACCGACUGACCUCCCGAUGGUGUUUCCAAGUAGCACGGAGCCCGAGGAAUUCCGUGUGAAUUUGCGGGGCCCACCCCGUAAGGCUAACUACUACCCAGCGACCGAUAGUGAACCAGUACCGUGAGGGAAAGGUGAAAAGUACCCCGGGAGGGGAGUGAAAUAGUACCUGAAACCGUGCGCUUACAAACAGUCGGAGGAGCCGUACAGACUUCGGUCUGUACGUCUGACGGCGUGCCUUUUGAAGAAUGAGCCGGCGAGUUAGCGAUGCGUGGCAAGGUUAAGACGAGAGUCGAAGCCGUAGCGAAAGCGAGUCUGAAUAGGGCGUUUAGUCGCGUGUUCUAGACCCGAAGCCGGGUGAUCUAUCCAUGGGCAGGCUGAAGCGAGGGUAAGACCUCGUGGAGGGCCGAACCCACCAGGGUUGAAAACCUGGGGGAUGACCUGUGGAUAGGGGUGAAAGGCCAAUCAAACCCGGUGAUAGCUGGUUCUCCCCGAAAUGCAUUUAGGUGCAGCGUC
rnacentral:rRNA from 1 species